CCGGAGGAGGUCACCGACGCCCGCAUCCUCAGCUCCCCUCGUCUUCCAUCGUGAUUGACGUCCACCUCCAACGACCUGCAGGACCCAUGAUAUGGCGACUCCCAGGGCGCUGCCGCAGGGACAACCGAGGAAAUCGACCCGAGGUAAGCCCCCAAAUCGUCUCUUCUCCAUCUAUGUCGAGGUAUGGAUUUGCUAUCCACCUCACAAGGCAACCCUGCAUUUUAACUAAGAGCUCCAUAUUUGAAAUCAAGUAAAAAAUCUUUAGAGGUCAAGUGUUCAAACAACCGUAUCAUCCAAUUUUCUGACUGGUACCGAGGUAAAGAUGGCAGGUGGAGCAGCUGGAGAGGAUAGAGUACAAGCUGUGUGCUCUGAGAAAAAUGGAUGGUUGAUUUGUGGAAUUUAUGAUAGCUUUAAUGAGAUGCAGCUGAUUUUCUGGCAGUAACUCUAUAUGAUAACAUAGUAUAUUACCUGUACUUGUUAGAGUGUCAUAUCAAGCAACAAGAUGGCCUAUAUAGCUCAUCAGAGAACUCCCUUAAUUAAUGGGGUUAAAAGUGAAUUCACAUUAGCCAUGGAAAUUGCAGAGAAUGAAGAUGUAAAACUUUCUGAAAGUUUUCAAGCUGGUGUGCUGAAUUGCCUCACUUCUACCGUUGAGAAAGCUGAGAAUGAUUUCUUAUACAUGGUUGAACAAGAUAUGGAUGAUAGACUAGAUAUAGUUUCAGUUGUAUUUUGUGUCCUGGUUGUGCUUCUUGAGGGGACAGAUUUAUGCAUUCUAAAUCUCGAGGAUAUAUAGUGGGGUUGUGCUUGCUUCCAUGCCAUGAAUACUCUGUUGCUGUUGUUACACUUUGUUGUGCUAAUUGCAUAUUCCCGCAGGUGAAUCUCUUAUGGUUAUUGUUCAUUUUUCAUGCCCAUUGGUAUUCCAAGAGUAUCUGUUAUUAUAUUCAAAUUCAUGCUCAAAUAGAAAAUGUCACGGCAAUGGAAUUCUCCUCCUGGGUGUUUUGUAUGCGCCCGCAUUGUAGGAAGACUUCUACCUCAACUUCGUGGAUUGGUCUUUGCACAUUGUCAUCUCGGUCGGAUUGGGGAACUGCGUCUACCCGUGGAAUGCAGUCAGCAAGCUCUGCGAUUUGGGGGCGGACCACACUGUUUGUUCAGUGAGUUGGGCGCAGCGUGGCACCCACCUAUUUGUAUGGACUAACCAAGGCACCGUUCAGGUUUUCAUCUUGCUCCCGUCUGAAAUUGAUCAAAUGGCAUGUUCAGGGUCCAUCAAAGUUUAGGAUGAUACUUCAGUUUAUUUUUACCCAAAGCUUCAACUCAAACAACAAAUAGUACAUAGUACACGCUUGGUUGUGAGAAUGUCACCCGGUUGAUACGAUAUGAAGUAUAUAUUGUAGAAGUAGAACAAGCAGGAAUUUGAUUCAUCAACUUAUAUAUGCAAUAUGAAGUAUAUAUUGUAGAAGUAGAACAAGUGGAAAUUUGAUUCAUCAACUUAUAUAUGCAAUAUAAAGUAUAUAUUGUAGAAGUAGAACAAGUGCUGCCAUGUUGAAUUUGUUGUGACAUAGAGGCUGAAAUAUAUACCCGUCGCUAUCCUUUGAAAUAAUGCCGACUUAGGAACUCCGUACUGAAAAAUAUAUUCGUCGCUAUCCAGCUGAAGGUUAUAUAAUGUUUUGAGUUCUAGCGCUUUAGAUUCUGUGGUUCCAGCUUCUUUGUGUAAGAUCUCCACUUCCUCAUUGUCAUCUGUGCGGCAAUCAAUUCUGCUCUAGCAGCACAGGAGUCCAGCCGUAGCCUUUUGUAACUUUCCAUGGCCGACUCUUGCUCUCUGAGCGCAAUAAGCCCUUUGCAAUCUUGUAUAUUGUCAGUGGUUGCUGCGAUAUCCUUUUCUAUAACCUCCAGAUCACUACCAGCUUUAUCCAACGUCUUAUAUUAAGGUACCGAGGGACUAAUUGCCAACAUAGUUCAGGUUUUCCCUUACAGUAUCUUUUCUAUCAGAAUUUGUGGUUUUAGUUCAUAUGUCAUCUGUUAGAGCAAAAAACAUGAGGUUAUUCAGGUUGAGUCCCACUCAAAUUGCUUGAUUUUAGGUUCUAAUUAUGGGCAUGGACAAAUUCAAAACAGAUAGCUUGUUAGAGGAAUCCCACAUGGACGAUGUAACACAUGUAUGCGCAUUCUAUAGAGUUUUACAUGUGCAUGUGGUUUUACAGUGGAAAUUAGUGUUAUCACAUACUUUUGUUUUGUUAACUUUUUUGCUGGCAUUACUGUCUAAAAUAUUUAGAUGUUGGUCUGGAGCACCACUCAGAGGCCUUGUCGAGUGGGAGGAUCAGAAGUAGUGGGAGGUGAUGCCGAGUAUUGUCGUAUAUUUUGCCUUUUUCAUGUCAUUUUUGUUUAGCAGAUGAUAUAUUGGUAAUUGCUCGAUGACUAUUUGGAUCACUGAAAUGGCUAAUUACUUCAUGUAUAUGAUUUAUUUGUUGGUCUCAUAUAAUCCCUUUCUCUGUUUCAGAUUUCUUUGGGAGGGGGGCCUGGUGGAUGUGUGCUAUUUUGCGGAUGUAGGCUGAGGUUGGGAUACCUCGCCGAUCAUGCCGUCCUUGUUAUUCUUACUCCUCAGUUUCUAAGGUUCGUGGUUCGUGUGUGUGUGUGUUACGGGAGUAUUUGUAUCUGCCAUGGUUGGGGUGGAACAGAUUGACUUGGUUUUCAGGAUUUUGUGAUCCGGUCAGCCGAUCUGCUGCAUAAAAAAAUAUUGGACCAUUCUAUACUCUUGGCUGCUUCUCCUUCGGAGUCUAUGCAGUGUGGUAUCCGAGCCAGCGUCAGGUGCACCAAGCUCGCCGUCCACACGCCUCCUCUUCGUCUGCAUCUGCAGUGCCAAAUCGCUCCCCAUCCGAGCAGGUAGCACCCAGUUCCCACCUUGGAACCGUUCGCUUUUAUUCUGUUCGUGUAUCCGUCCUCUCAUCUUUGUAGGUGGGUCAGGCCUCGGUUGCUAUUGUUUGAUUCUGUCGGUCAAAACUAUGUCAUAG